rnacentral:rRNA from 1 species
GAUGAACGCUGGCGGCGUGCCUAAUACAUGCAAGUCGAACGGAGAUUCUGUCGUAAUUCGUUACAGCGGAAAUCUCAGUGGCGAACGGGUGAGUAACGCGUUGGUGACCUGCCCCGGAGAGGGGGAUAACAGCUUGAAAGGGCUGCUAAUACCCCAUGAUGUCUAGAGGGUUAGAAACCUCUAGACGAAAGGCUUCGGUCGCUUCGGGAGGGGCCUGCGUCCCAUCAGCUAGUUGGUAGGGUAAUGGCCUACCAAGGCGAAGACGGGUAGGGGACCUGAGAGGGUGACCCCCCACAAUGGAACUGAAACACGGUCCAUACACCUACGGGCGGCAGCAGUAGGGAAUAUUGCACAAUGGGCGAAAGCCUGAUGCAGCAACGCCGCGUGCGCGAAGAAGGCCUUCGGGUUGUAAAGCGCUUUUCGGGGAGAAGAGGAAGGACGGUUCCCCGG